GACGAACGCUGGCGGCGUGCUUAACACAUGCAAGUCGAACGGAAAGGCCCUGCUUUUGUGGGGUGCUCGAGUGGCGAACGGGUGAGUAACACGUGAGUAACCUGCCCUUGACUUUGGGAUAACUUCAGGAAACUGGGGCUAAUACCGGAUAGGAGCUCCUGCUGCAUGGUGGGGGUUGGAAAGUUUCGGCGGUUGGGGAUGGACUCGCGGCUUAUCAGCUUGUUGGUGGGGUAGUGGCUUACCAAGGCUUUGACGGGUAGCCGGCCUGAGAGGGGGACCGGCCACAUGGGGACUGAGAUACGGCCCAGCCUCCUACGGGAGGCAGCAGUGGGGAAUAUUGCACAAUGGGCGGAAGCCUGAUGCAGCAACGCCGCGUGCGGGAUGACGGCCUUCGGGUUGUAAACCGCUUUCGCCUGUGACGAAGCGUGAGUGACGGUAAUGGGUAAAGAAGCACCGGCUAACUACGUG
rnacentral:rRNA from 1 species